UUCCUCAUCAACAAUUAACUGCAAUAGCCAUUCAGGAAGAUAUGGGAUAGCACAAGUUCCUCACUCAUCCAUGGUGAAUGCUGAUGACACCUACAUUGAACAAAUCUUUACUAUGGAACCAUUAUGGCUUAAGUACAACCAUGAGGGAAGCUGGUAAUGAAGGACUGAGAUAUGAAUGGCUCUUUCUGCAGACUUUAAGUUUGGUGUCAUUUUCUUCUCUCCCCCUCUGCGUUCACCUUGUGUUGAAGAAUCUGUAAGACGAUGCAGGCAAGCUUAUGUGAAAUUUUCAUUUCAAGCAAUAGCUCAAAAAAUGGACGAGCCAAGCUCUCUACAGAUU